GACGAACGCUGGCGGCGUGCCUAAUACAUGCAAGUCGAACGAACCGCGACUGAGUGCUUGCACUUGGUCAAGGUGAGUGGCGAACGGGUGAGUAACACGUGGGUAACCUACCUCAUAGUGGGGGAUAACAGUCGGAAACGACUGCUAAUACCGCAUAGGACAUGGAAUCACAUGAUUCUGUGAGGAAAGGUGGCGCAAGCUAUCGCUAAGAGAUGGACCCGCGGUGCAUUAGCUAGUUGGUAGGGUAAGGGCCUACCAAGGCGAUGAUGCAUAGCCGACCUGAGAGGGUGAUCGGCCACAUUGGGACUGAGACACGGCCCAAACUCCUACGGGAGGCAGCAGUAGGGAAUCUUCCGCAAUGGACGCAAGUCUGACGGAGCAACGCCGCGUGAGUGAAGAAGGUCUUCGGAUCGUAAAGCUCUGUUGUUAGAGAAGAACAGCGCAUAGAGUAACUGUUAUGCGUGUGACGGUAUCUAACCAGAAAGCCACGGCUAACUACGU
rnacentral:rRNA from 1 species